rnacentral:rRNA from 1 species
CCUCUCGGGGUUCAGCCUUGCUGAAUUAUUCACCCUUGUCUUUUGCGUACUUCUUGUUUCCUUGGUGGGUUCGCCCACCACUAGGACAAACAUAAACCUUUUGUAAUUGCAAUCAGCGUCGGUAACAAAUUAAUAAUUACAACUUUCAACAACGGAUCUCUUGGUUCUGGCAUCGAUGAAGAACGCAGCGAAAUGCGAUAAGUAGUGUGAAUUGCAGAAUUCAGUGAAUCAUCGAAUCUUUGAACGCACAUUGCGCCCUUUGGUAUUCCAAAGGGCAUGCCUGUUCGAGCGUCAUUUGUACCCUCAAGCUUUGCUUGGUGUUGGGCGUCUUGUCUCUAGCUUUGCUGGAGACUCGCCUUAAAGUAAUUGGCAGCCGGCCUACUGGUUUCGGAGCGCAGCACAAGUCGCACUCUCUAUCAGCAAAGGUCUAGCAUCCAUUAAGCCUUUUUUUCAACUUUUGACCUCGGAUCAGGUAGGGAUACCCGCUGAACUUAAGCAUAUCAAUAAGCGGAGGAAAAGAAACCAACAGGGAUUGCCCUAGUAACGGCGAGUGAAGCGGCAACAGCUCAAAUUUGAAAUCUGGCUCUUUUAGAGUCCGAGUUGUAAUUUGCAGAGGGCGCUUUGGCUUUGGCAGCGGUCCAAGUUCCUUGGAACAGGACGUCACAGAGGGUGAGAAUCCCGUACGUGGUCGCUGGCUAU